rnacentral:lncRNA from 1 species
UUUCGGAUUUUUUAUCAAAUCAAUAAAUAAGUUCGGAUUUAAUGCUAUUCAGCCGGGAAUGAUUUUUGAAUGCACUUCUACAACAAGAAUUUUUCUAGUUAAUUGUUUCUUCUUUAUUUGUAUACCAUUUGUAGUUUGGUGCAAGUGCUUUAGACCAAAGGUCGAAGAUUUAAUGGCAGCUAGUACCGAAUGGUUGUGUAAUCCGCAAGCUAAUGAUGAAAACUCUAAAGUAAGUUAAAGUUGUGUUGGAAAUAGCCUUAAAACAAAAAAUUAACAUUGUGAUUAUGAAUUAUCUUAAAAAUUAAAAAUAUAUUCAUUUACUUAAACAUUUUAUUUUUCUUUGUAUUUUAGGAAAAUGAAUUUGAUUGCAAACGCCGUCUUUUAUCUGGCUAUCAGGAAACCGAACAUAGCAUGACCGAAAAUGUUCUCCGUGCACUUAACCGAGUACACGAAACUGAUUUAUUUGAAGAUGAAAAACAAGACGAUGAUGAAAGUACAGCUUAUAUUUUAGAAGUAUUGGAAGAGAGCAAAAACUCGCUAAGCAG